UUUCCGUUUUAUAUAUAUCGUUUUGGUUUUUUUUUUACCUUUGAUCAAAAAUGAGUAGUUUCGUUUUAAUUUACUCUGAUUCAAGAUCAAAUAUACUAUGAUUUGAUGAGCAUUUUUUUUUUAACCUUCGUGAACACUGUGGUCUUGCAAAAGCACAGUCAAAGGCAGGUGCUUCAUUGACAGUGACAUCAGAGAUGAUUGCCCCAGACAGAAAGAGGAAAGCUGGUCCCUAGGAUGCAGUCAAAACAAAGAAAAGUCGAGACUGUUUCAGUGGAGUCCACUGGCAUUUUACCUCCCGAUGUGCUGGUGUCCGAAGCGAUCAAAGUGUUAAUGGAAAAGUGCAGGACUAUGUUGUCUGAACUCAACCACACAACAGAUUCAAAAUCCACCGAAACUUACUGAAACCAGUUUGUGUAAAAAUGACAAGCACUGUACCAAAACACUUCAUAGCUGGUUUAUCAAAGGCAGUGUGUGUGUGGAAAAAUGUAUAAAAGAUCUCUAGCUGUUAGCCUAUGUGACAGGUUUCUUUUGUGACAUGAGAUAUAGUGUGCCUUUAACCAGUUCUGGAGCACUGGUUGAAAUGAGUCAAAACCCAAUCUGCUGUUCGGAUCCACCGAGGUGAUUCGAUCCUGUGACACAAGCACCUCGGGCGAGUGCUCAACCAACUGAGCUAAAUCCCGCCCCCUGUUAUAAUAAAUGAUAUACAAGUA